rnacentral:rRNA from 1 species
GACGGAGGGUGCAAGCGUUGUUCGGAAUCACUGGGCGUAAAGCGCGUGUAGGCGGUUCGAUAAGUCGGACGUGAAAGCCCGGGGCUUAACCCCGGAAGGGCAUCCGAAACUGUCGAGCGUGAGUACGGGAGAGGGAAGCGGAAUUCCUGGUGGAGAGGUGAAAUUCGUAGAUCGCAGGAGGAACACCGGUGGCGAAGGCGGCUUCCUGGACCGAUACUUACGCUGAGAAGCGAAAGCGUGGUUAGCAAACAGGAUUAGAUACCCCGGUAGUCC